rnacentral:lncRNA from 1 species
AUGCUGCGAGCUCUGGCUGGUUUGCUUCUUUGGGGUGCCCUGGCACCCCAGCCUCAUCUUCCUCCUCCAUCUUCAGAUUGUCCUUCAGGUGCUGAAUGGCUGGGAUAUGCCCCCUGGGGAAGACCGCACAUGAGGUGUGGGAGCUGGCUCCGUGGUCUGGAUCCCAACCUGAAUGAUGCUGGAGAAGAGACCUCAGAACCACUGUCAGCACCUGCACCACAGCUGGGCAGUGGUGCUGAGCCCCCAGCGCUGCUCCUCCUGUGUUCUCGCCUUUGCCAAGGACCUGAUGACUUCGUCGUUGCUGCCAUCCCAAGGACAGGCUGCCAGAAGAUGCUGCAGGCACCGGAGGAUGCAUCCCAGAAGCAUGGGGGUGGCCUGUUGCUGAGGCUGCAGCAAAGCUUCCUGACCCCUGAUUUCCCCAGGCCACUGCCAACAGAGGGUUCUCUGUGAGAAGCACAGGUGAGCGUGGGAUGGAGAGGCUGAGCUGGACCACAGGGACUCUUGACCACCCUGCUGUCCGGGUGGGGGUAUCCUGCCUCCUCUCAUGAGCUCUUAUGCCACUGAGAGCUGUCUGCAUGCUCAGCGCUGUGCAGCACACCGCAGUGACGGCUGCCGCCGCUGCAAAGAUCCUGCAGGACAAAGGGAACAACAAAAGGUUCCUGCACCAGCGCUUUCCCCUCUUUUCUCUUUCCUUCCCUUUUGCCGCAACUUGGAAAGAGCGAAGUCGAGGGACUGCCAAAGCAGAGGAAAACAAGGCCAAGCGCACACAGAUGGUGAGCCCACAAAUUUAAUUUAAAAUCAUCCUUUAUUAUUCAAAAUAUUAAAAUUCAGGCAAUAAUGCCCAAAGGAACUGCACUGAUUAAAGUUCCCUAAUGUUUCAUGGCCAAAUCUUGCUGCUUCUUCCAAGGGUCACUGGGACAAGAAGUGAAACCCCUCUGGAGUGCAGAGAGAGGCAGGGCUGUACCUGCUGUAGAUCGUUUACCCAAACAGUUACUUACUGACCCAAUCAGCUUCACUUAAAGCAAAGCACCAGCUGUUCCUUACCCAAUUAAUGAUUGCCACAGCAAAUUAACAUGGCGUUACACCAGGCGUGGAUGUGGUCCGCAGAGUCCGGAAUGCACAGAGCAAUAUGCUAUUGCAAAAAUAAUCACAGUAAUAUCUUUACUGUUAGGUAGCAUCCUUCAUCUGGAAGGAUCGCAAGCUCCCUGUGUGCUAUAUGGCUCACUUCGUGCAACGUGCUCUGCAGUGAGGGUGCGGAGGGCAGGAAGGAGGGUAGGUGGGGUACGUGGUUGCUGUUUCAAGGCAGAAUAAGAGGAACAGCCAGGGCAGCUCUACUGUGGUAGAGGCAGCAUUGACCACACACGUCCAGGUCUUGGUUCCUGCAAUCCAAACAAAUUGUUAUUUCAUUGGUUGUAAAUCUGCUGGACUCAAAAUGUACCUUGAUCAUGCACCACGGACCUCUUUGAUGCCUCUCCCCUGUUGUGUGAUGUGACAGUUUGAUAGCACAGGGCUGUUGCAGGGAUUUUUGGGCCCUGGUCAGGGUCACAGUUCAGUGUCAGAGCCAUUCUGCUCUGGGAUGUGGCAGAUGUGGCAAGCACAGAGCCAGAUGGCCAGCUGCAGUGAGCACCCCUGGGUGGGAAGAGGCCACAAUGCUGGGCUGCAGAUGUGGGAAAGCCAAGCAUUGCCUCCCUGCUGAGCAUCCCCAGGUCAAGUGCUGCCUCUACAAUUCCUUCCUUGGUCCCUCUGUGCUGUGGGGCACACACACAGGCUGCCCCUCGCCCUGUCCCUCUGUGGUGGUUCUGCAUCGUGGGAGCCCAACAGCAGCAGAGCAGAGUAACUGAGCCAGUCUCUUCUUCCAUCAAAGUCCAGUUUACACAAAGGUUAAAUCUAGUUCCUAAAUACUCAUCACAGUUUUGGCUCUGCUAUGAGCCUGUGCCUUUUAUGACCCAGACACAUUAACCCCCUUUAAGUUACAGUCCGGAUAGAUCAAUCAGCCUAGAGGGCUUUGGGACAAAGGUAUCUGGUGUUGAAGCAUUAAACUUUCCAAUUUUCCCACAAUUAAGCCACCAUCAAAUAUUAUUGACAAAUAAAGCAUGCCAUCAAAGCCCCGAGCUGCCGCCU